UACGAAGGGUGCAAGCGUUAAUCGGAAUUACUGGGCGUAAAGCGCGCGUAGGUGGUUGAUUAAGUUGGAAGUGAAAUCCCCGGGCUCAACCUGGGAACUGCUUUCAAAACUGAUCGACUAGAGUACGGUAGAGGGUAGUGGAAUUUCCUGUGUAGCGGUGAAAUGCGUAGAUAUAGGAAGGAACACCAGUGGCGAAGGCGACUACCUGGACUGAUACUGACACUGAGGUGCGAAAGCGUGGGGAGCAAAC
rnacentral:rRNA from 1 species